GAUGAAGAACGUAGCGAAAUGCGAUAAGUAGUGUGAAUUGCAGAAUUCAGUGAAUCAUCGAAUCUUUGAACGCACAUUGCGCCCCUCGGUAUUCCAUGGGGCAUGCCUGUUCGAGCGUCAUUUGUACCUUCAAGCUCUGCUUGGUGUUGGGUGUUUGUCCUUGCUCUAGUGGCGGGACUCGCCUUAAAGUAAUUGGCAGCCAGUGUUUUGGUUUUGAAGCGCAGCACAAGUCGCGAUUCAAGUCUAUACGCUAGUUUCCACAAGUCUUUUAUCACUUUUGACCUCGGAUCAGGUAGGGAUACCCGCUGAACUUAAGCAUAUCAAUAAGCGGAGGA
rnacentral:misc_RNA from 1 species